UUAAGCGACUAAGCGUACACGGUGGAUGCCCUGGCAGUCAGAGGCGAUGAAGGACGUGCUAAUCUGCGAAAAGCGUCGGUAAGGUGAUAUGAACCGUUAUAGCCGGCGAUGUCCGAAUGGGGAAACCCAGUGCAAUUCGUUGCACUAUCGUUAACUGAAUACAUAGGUUAACGAGGCGAACCGGGGGAACUGAAACAUCUAAGUACCCCGAGGAAAAGAAAUCAACCGAGAUUCCCCCAGUAGCGGCGAGCGAACGGGGAGCAGCCCAGAGUCUGAAUCAGCUUGUGUGUUAGUGGAACGGUCUGGAAAGUCCGACGGUACAGGGUGAUAGUCCCGUACACCAAAAUGCACAGGCUGUGAACUCGAAGAGUAGGGCGGGACACGUGGUAUCCUGUCUGAAUAUGGGGGGACCAUCCUCCAAGGCUAAAUACUCCUGACUGACCGAUAGUGAACCAGUACCGUGAGGGAAAGGCGAAAAGAACCCCGGCGAGGGGAGUGAAAAAGAACCUGAAACCGUGUACGUACAAGCAGUGGGAGCACCUUCGGGUGUGACUGCGUACCUUUUGUAUAAUGGGUCAGCGACUUAUAUUCUGUAGCAAGGUUAACCGUAUAGGGGAGCCGCAGGGAAACCGAGUCUUAACUGGGCGUUAAGUUGCAGGGUAUAGACCCGAAACCCGGUGAUCUAGCCAUGGGCAGGUUGAAGGUUGGGUAACACUAACUGGAGGACCGAACCGACUAAUGUUGAAAAAUUAGCGGAUGACUUGUGGCUGGGGGUGAAAGGCCAAUCAAACCGGGAGAUAGCUGGUUCUCCCCGAAAGCUAUUUAGGUAGCGCCUCGUGAACUCAUCUUCGGGGGUAGAGCACUGUUUCGGCUAGGGGGUCAUCCCGACUUACCAACCCGAUGCAAACUACGAAUACCGAAGAAUGUUAUCACGGGAGACACACGGCGGGUGCUAACGUCCGUCGUGAAGAGGGAAACAACCCAGACCGCCAGCUAAGGUCCCAAAGUCAUGGUUAAGUGGGAAACGAUGUGGGAAGGCACAGACAGCCAGGAUGUUGGCUUAGAAGCAGCCAUCAUUUAAAGAAAGCGUAAUAGCUCACUGGUCGAGUCGGCCUGCGCGGAAGAUGUAACGGGGCUAAACCAUGCACCGAAGCUGCGGCAGCGACACUAUGUGUUGUUGGGUAGGGGAGCGUUCUGUAAGCCUGCGAAGGUGUGCUGUGAGGCAUGCUGGAGGUAUCAGAAGUGCGAAUGCUGACAUAAGUAACGAUAAAGCGGGUGAAAAGCCCGCUCGCCGGAAGACCAAGGGUUCCUGUCCAACGUUAAUCGGGGCAGGGUGAGUCGACCCCUAAGGCGAGGCCGAAAGGCGUAGUCGAUGGGAAACAGGUUAAUAUUCCUGUACUUGGUGUUACUGCGAAGGGGGGACGGAGAAGGCUAUGUUAGCCGGGCGACGGUUGUCCCGGUUUAAGCAUGUAGGCUGGUUAUCCAGGCAAAUCCGGAUAAUCAAGGCUGAGGUGUGAUGACGAGGCACUACGGUGCUGAAGUAACAAAUGCCCUGCUUCCAGGAAAAGCCUCUAAGCAUCAGGUAACAUCAAAUCGUACCCCAAACCGACACAGGUGGUCAGGUAGAGAAUACCAAGGCGCUUGAGAGAACUCGGGUGAAGGAACUAGGCAAAAUGGUGCCGUAACUUCGGGAGAAGGCACGCUGGUGUGUAGGUGAAGUCCCUGCGGAUGGAGCUGAGACCAGUCGAAGAUACCAGCUGGCUGCAACUGUUUAUUAAAAACACAGCACUGUGCAAACACGAAAGUGGACGUAUACGGUGUGACGCCUGCCCGGUGCCGGAAGGUUAAUUGAUGGGGUUAUCCGUAAGGAGAAGCUCUUGAUCGAAGCCCCGGUAAACGGCGGCCGUAACUAUAACGGUCCUAAGGUAGCGAAAUUCCUUGUCGGGUAAGUUCCGACCUGCACGAAUGGCGUAAUGAUGGCCAGGCUGUCUCCACCCGAGACUCAGUGAAAUUGAACUCGCUGUGAAGAUGCAGUGUACCCGCGGCAAGACGGAAAGACCCCGUGAACCUUUACUAUAGCUUGACACUGAACAUUGAGCCUUGAUGUGUAGGAUAGGUGGGAGGCUUUGAAGCGUGGACGCCAGUCUGCGUGGAGCCAACCUUGAAAUACCACCCUUUAAUGUUUGAUGUUCUAACGUUGGCCCCUUACCGGGGUUGCGGACAGUGUCUGGUGGGUAGUUUGACUGGGGCGGUCUCCUCCCAAAGCGUAACGGAGGAGCACGAAGGUUAGCUAAUCCUGGUCGGACAUCAGGAGGUUAGUGCAAUGGCAUAAGCUAGCUUGACUGCGAGCGUGACGGCGCGAGCAGGUGCGAAAGCAGGUCAUAGUGAUCCGGUGGUUCUGAAUGGAAGGGCCAUCGCUCAACGGAUAAAAGGUACUCCGGGGAUAACAGGCUGAUACCGCCCAAGAGUUCAUAUCGACGGCGGUGUUUGGCACCUCGAUGUCGGCUCAUCACAUCCUGGGGCUGAAGUAGGUCCCAAGGGUAUGGCUGUUCGCCAUUUAAAGUGGUACGCGAGCUGGGUUUAGAACGUCGUGAGACAGUUCGGUCCCUAUCUGCCGUGGGCGCUGGAGAAUUGAGGGGGGCUGCUCCUAGUACGAGAGGACCGGAGUGGACGCAUCACUGGUGUUCGGGUUGUCAUGCCAAUGGCACUGCCCGGUAGCUAAAUGCGGAAGAGAUAAGUGCUGAAAGCAUCUAAGCACGAAACUUGCCCCGAGAUGAGUUCUCCCUGAGACUUUAAGUCUCCUGAAGGAACGUUGAAGACGAUGACGUUGAUAGGCCGGGUGUGUAAGCGCAGCGAUGCGUUGAGCUAACCGGUACUAAUGAACCGUGAGGCUUAACCUU
rnacentral:rRNA from 1 species